rnacentral:rRNA from 1 species
UCGGGAAUUUUGGGCAAUGGGCGAAAGCCUGACCCAGCAACGCCGCGUGAGGGAUGAAGUAUUUCGGUAUGUAAACCUCGAAAGAAUGGGAAGAAUAAAUGACGGUACCAUUUAUAAGCUCCGGCUAACUACGUGCCAGCAGCCGCGGUAAUACGUAGGGAGCAAGCGUUGUUCGGAUUUACUGAGCGUAAAGGGCGCGUAGGCGGCGCGGUAAGUCACUUGUGAAAUCUCUGAGCUUAACUCAGAACGGCCAAGUGAUACUGCUGUGCUAGAGUGCGGAAGAGGCAACCGGAAUUCUUGGUGUAGCGGUGAAAUGCGUAGAUAUCAAGAGGAACACCUGAGGCGAAGGCGGGUUGCUGGGCCGACACUGACGCUGAUGCGCGAAAGCCAGGGGAGCAGACG